rnacentral:lncRNA from 1 species
CAAAACAUAAGCGUAUUUCUUUAACAGCCAUAAGUUGAAUAUUCAAAAGAUAAGAAAGUAAGAUCUGGCCAAAAUCAUCACUAAUCAACCCUAAAGCUCAACAUUAUAACAUGAUUUAUUAAAACUGAAGUUAGAAAAACGUUCAUUUUCAGACUUCAUCAUAUUAGACAUGUAUUCAUGUAUUGACAACAUAGCAAAACAACCAAACACACUAUUAAAGUCACAGAUUAAAUCAUAAGCCUAAUUUUUUAACAACAAUCAUCAGACAUGUAGUAUAAUGGCAAACAAAACAUUUUAUUUUGCACAAGAUGAUAUUCUAAAGAGAAACAAAUAAGAUCUGACAGCAACCAUCACUAAUCAACCAUAAAGAUCAACAAUAGAAAAAAACAACAACCAAACACACUAUUAAAGCCAUAUAUCAAAACAUAAGCAUAAUUAUUUAACAACAAUCAUUAAACACAUAGUAUAAUGGCAAACAAAACAUUUCAUAUUCCACAAGUUCAAUCUUCUAAAUAGAAACAAAUAAAAUGUGACAGCAAUCAUUACUAAUCAAUCCUAAAAAUCAACAUUCUAACAAGCUUUCUUAAAACUGAAGUUAG